rnacentral:rRNA from 1 species
CAGGGAAUAUUGCACAAUGGGCGAAAGCCUGAUGCAGCGACGCCGCGUGCGGGAUGAAGGCCUUCGGGUUGUAAACCGCUUUCAGGAGGGACGAAAAUGACGGUACCUCCAGAAGAAGGCCCGGCCAACUACGUGCCAGCAGCCGCGGUAAUACGUAGGGGCCAAGCGUUGUCCGGAUUUAUUGGGCGUAAAGGGCUCGUAGGCGGUUUGACAAGUCGGUCGUGAAAACCUGGGGCUCAACCCCAGGACGCCGGUCGAAACUGUCAUGACUAGGGUCCGGUAGAGGUGAGUGGAAUUCUCGGUGUAGCGGUGGAAUGCGCAGAUAUCGAGAGGAACACCAGUAGCGAAGGCGGCUCACUGGGCCGGUACCGACGCUGAGGAGCGAAAGCGUGGGGAGCAAACAGGAUUAGAUACCCCCGUAGUCC